CCCUGGGUGGCUCAGUGGUUGAGCAUCUGUCUUUGGCUCAGAUCAUGAUCCCAGGGU
rnacentral:tRNA from 1 species